GACGAACGCUGGCGGCGUGCUUAACACAUGCAAGUCGAACGGAAAGGCCCUGCUUUUGUGGGGUGCUCGAGUGGCGAACGGGUGAGUAACACGUGAGUAACCUGCCCUUGACUUUGGGAUAACUUCAGGAAACUGGGGCUAAUACCGGAUAGGAGCUCCUGCUGCAUGGUGGGGGUUGGAAAGUUUCGGCGGUUGGGGAUGGACUCGCGGCUCAUCAGCUUGUUGGUGGGGUAGUGGCUUACCAAGGCUUUGACGGGUAGCCGGCUGAGAGGGUGACCGGCCACAUUGGGACUGAGAUACGGCCCAGACUCCUACGGGAGGCAGCAGUGGGGAAUAUUGCACAAUGGGCGGAAGCCUGAUGCAGCAACGCCGCGUGCGGGAUGACGGCCUUCGGGUUGUAAACCGCUUUCGCCUGUGACGAAGCGUGAGUGACGGUAAUGGGUAAAGAAGCACCGGCUAACUACGUG
rnacentral:rRNA from 1 species